UCCCUGGCAGUCCAGUGGUGAAGAUUCUGUGCUUCUAAUACAGGGGGCAGGGGUUCGACCCCCUAGUCAGGGAA
rnacentral:tRNA from 1 species